CGUUCAGGGGUAAACCUGAGAAACCCGAACGUCCGAAAUGGGAGAUUCAUCACGUCUCCGUACCGUCGACGGACGCAAGGCGACGAGAGACCCUCCGGUCGAUCGCUCCCCGGCCCGUCGUGCGACGCGGAAUGUGUGCACUUCUCCCUAAGUAAGAACGUCGUGAGCCGUUGAGCUCGUCGGUCUACGGCCGCAGGUGGAGACCAGGAGCGCGUUUCGGCGCGUUACUGGACCCGGCGCGCCCGGCCCUCGCUCGACGGCAUCAAAAAGGCACGGAGCCGCGAUCGCUCGCGCCCGGCCCCCCGCAAGUGCGGACGUCCUACCCGGAUCUCGGACCUGGUGCCGAAUCCGGAGGCGUUCGGCUGCUGGCGUGGGAGCCCUCGGGCCGUCUCCGCACAUGCCUCUCCACGACGCUUUAGCUAAGGGUUACUUCUCAGGACCCGUCUUGAAACACGGACCAAGGAGUCUAGCAUGUACGCGAGUCAUUGGGACACAGUUAAACCCAUUGGCGAAAUGAAUGUGAAGACCGCUUCGCGCGCGUUCAGGGAGGAUGGGAAUCCCCUAGAGGAGACCCCGCACUCCCGGGGCGUCUCGUGCUCAUCGCGAGCUGAGGCGCACCCAGAGCGCACACGCUGGGACCCGAAA
rnacentral:rRNA from 1 species